rnacentral:snoRNA from 1 species
CAUAUGAUGUAUGAAUCAGAACGGUAUAUCUGAAAGGAUGAAGUGUCUUGUGAGGCUGAC